CCCUUAGAUGUUCUGGGCUGCACGCGUGCUACACUGAUAUUGCCAAUAUGUCAUUCUUAUCCGAAAUGGAUUGGGUAAUCAAGUAAUGAAAUUUCAUGCUUGGAAUCGGUAAUUGCAAUUUUAUCGUGAACGAGGAAUUCCUAGUAAGCACUAGUCAUCAGCUAAUGUUGAUUAUGUCCCUGCCCUUUGUACACACCGCCCGUCGCUACUACUGAUUGGGUGUUCAAGUGAGAUGCUUAGACCCUUGUUGCAUGGUUCAUUAUUGUGCUCCGAAAGGAAAAAGUUUCAAGCUUGAGUGUCUAGAGGAAGUAAAAGGCGUAACA
rnacentral:rRNA from 1 species